CACGUAGGGCGCAAGCGUUGUCCGGAAUUAUUGGGCGUAAAGAGCUCGUAGGCGGUCUGUUACGUCUGCUGUGAAAACCCGCAGCUCAACUGUGGGCUUGCAGCUGAUACGGGCAGGCUUGAGUUCGGUAGGGGAGACUGGAAUUCCUGGUGUAGCGGUGAAAUGCGCAGAUAUCAGGAGGAACACCGGUGGCGAAGGCGGGUCUCUGGGCCGAUACUGACGCUGAGGAGCGAAAGCGUGGGGAGCGAACAGG
rnacentral:rRNA from 1 species